UCGCCAAGCGGGCGGCGGCAGGAGGCGGCUUGCUGGGCAUCCACCGACUUCUGCAGGAAUGUUUCCACAGGCCGCGUUAGCGCAGUCAGCAGCUACAACACUCCUCUAGAACUGACCAUUCCAACGUUGCUGUCAAAAAAAAUCAAUACAGCUUUGAGUUGGAAGUUGAGCCUCUGUGACUUCUUCCAAGACUAGUCUUAGAGUCGUUUUAAAAACAAUUAAGUACCCAAAUCAGACGCCAAGAUACCUUACAUAUGCCAAUCUGAAGAAUGCUAGAGAUUAUUUCAAGAAGAAGGCGUGAAUAAGGAUUAGAAGGAUCUGUGACUGCCUCAAACAAUAAAAAAUAAAACAUACGGAUAGCACUUUGACAAAAGCAGUCCCAACAACUCUGGGACGUGGAACACCAAAGAACUCAAGCGAGGUUUUGACCCUUCAGAAGGACAAUGAAGUUUAUCUGGUCACAUUUAUUUUCCACGACUCACAACAUGAGAAGUAAAACUAGUCUUUGCCUGCCUAUAUUUGAAGCGAACUAUUCUACAAAUGAUCGUCACAAAACGAUGAAAAUUGU